GCGGGUGCUAACGUCCGUCGUGAAGAGGGAAACAACCCAGACCGCCAGCUAAGGUCCCAAAGUCAUGGUUAAGUGGGAAACGAUGUGGGAAGGCCCAGACAGCCAGGAUGUUGGCUUAGAAGCAGCCAUCAUUUAAAGAAAGCGUAAUAGCUCACUGGUCGAGUCGGCCUGCGCGGAAGAUGUAACGGGGCUAAACCAUGCACCGAAGCUGCGGCAGCGACACUAUGUGUUGUUGGGUAGGGGAGCGUUCUGUAAGCCUGUGAAGGUGUACUGUGAGGUAUGCUGGAGGUAUCAGAAGUGCGAAUGCUGACAUAAGUAACGAUAAAGCGGGUGAAAAGCCCGCUCGCCGGAAGACCAAGGGUUCCUGUCCAACGUUAAUCGGGGCAGGGUGAGUCGACCCCUAAGGCGAGGCCGAAAGGCGUAGUCGAUGGGAAACAGGUUAAUAUUCCUGUACUUGGUGUUACUGCGAAGGGGGGACGGAGAAGGCUAUGUUGGCCGGGCGACGGUUGUCCCGGUUUAAGCGUGUAGGCUGAUUUUCCAGGCAAAUCCGGAAAAUCAAGGCUGAGGCGUGAUGACGAGGCACUACGGUGCUGAAGCAACAAAUGCCCUGCUUCCAGGAAAAGCCUCUAAGCAUCAGGUAACAUCAAAUCGUACCCCAAACCGACACAGGUGGUCAGGUAGAGAAUACCAAGGCGCUUGAGAGAACUCGGGUGAAGGAACUAGGCAAAAUGGUGCCGUAACUUCGGGAGAAGGCACGCUGAUAUGUAGGUGAAGCGACUUGCUCGUGGAGCUGAAAUCAGUCGAAGAUACCAGCUGGCUGCAACUGUUUAUUAAAAACACAGCACUGUGCAAACACGAAAGUGGACGUAUACGGUGUGACGCCUGCCCGGUGCCGGAAGGUUAAUUGAUGGGGUUAGCGGUAACGCGAAGCUCUUGAUCGAAGCCCCGGUAAACGGCGGCCGUAACUAUAACGGUCCUAAGGUAGCGAAAUUCCUUGUCGGGUAAGUUCCGACCUGCACGAAUGGCGUAAUGAUGGCCAGGCUGUCUCCACCCGAGACUCAGUGAAAUUGAACUCGCUGUGAAGAUGCAGUGUACCCGCGGCAAGACGGAAAGACCCCGUGAACCUUUACUAUAGCUUGACACUGAACAUUGAGCCUUGAUGUGUAGGAUAGGUGGGAGGCUUUGAAGUGUGGACGCCAGUCUGCAUGGAGCCGACCUUGAAAUACCACCCUUUA
rnacentral:rRNA from 1 species